UACGUAGGUGACAAGCGUUGUCCGGAUUUACUGGGCGUAAAGAGCGCGCAGGCGGUCGAUCAAGUCGAGUGUGAAAGCCCCCGGCUCAACUGGGGAGGGUCAUUCGAUACUGAUCGACUUGAAGGCAGGAGAGGGAAGUGGAAUUCCGGGUGUAGUGGUGAAAUGCGUAGAUAUCCGGAGGAACACCAGUGGCGAAGGCGACUUCCUGGCCUGUUCUUGACGCUGAGGCGCGAAAGCUGGGGAGCAAACGGG
rnacentral:rRNA from 1 species